GCCGAAAUAGCUCAGUUGGGAAGCGUUAGACUGAAGAUCUAAAGGUCCCUGGUUCAAUCGGGGUUCGGCG
rnacentral:tRNA from 1 species